rnacentral:rRNA from 1 species
UUGGCGGCGUGGUUAAGACAUGCAAGUCGAACGAGAGAAUUGCUAGCUUGCUAAUAAUUCUCUAGUGGCGCACGGGUGAGUAACACGUGAGUAACCUGCCCCCGAGAGCGGGAUAGCCCUGGGAAACUGGGAUUAAUACCGCAUAGUAUCGAAAGAUUAAAGCAGCAAUGCGCUUGGGGAUGGGCUCGCGGCCUAUUAGUUAGUUGGUGAGGUAACGGCUCACCAAGGCGAUGACGGGUAGCCGGUCUGAGAGGAUGUCCGGCCACACUGGAACUGAGACACGGUCCAGACACCUACGGGUGGCAGCAGUCGAGAAUCAUUCACAAUGGGGGAAACCCUGAUGGUGCGACGCCGCGUGGGGGAAUGAAGGUCUUCGGAUUGUAAACCCCUGUCAUGUGGGAGCAAAUUAAAAAGAUAGUACCACAAGAGGAAGAGACGGCUAACUCUGUGCCAGCAGCCGCGGUAAUACAGAGGUCUCAAGCGUUGUUCGGAAUCACUGGGCGUAAAGCGUGCGUAGGCUGUUUCGUAAGUCGUGUGUGAAAGGCGCGGGCUCAACCCGCGGACGGCACAUGAUACUGCGAGACUAGAGUAAUGGAGGGGGAACCGGAAUUCACGGUGUAGCAAAUCACUAGUGAAUUC